rnacentral:lncRNA from 1 species
UUCAAUUUAUUCAUAAUCUAGCUUGCAAGUCUACUACAUUCUGAACACCACAUUUCUGAACAAACUCUGUGAUACAUUACAUUACAGAUACUAGAACCACAUUACCAAUCCUAAAAGCAUUCAACUGCUAAGUUGGUUUUAUAUGAGAGGCAAAUUAACGUUCUUGAUUGGCUAACCAAACAAUAACAGGACUGUGUUCAUGAAUGCACAGAGAAAAGGAAGCCUCUGUGUUGGUGUACUUAUUUAAUUGGGAGUGGGGAGUCUAUAAAACAUAAACCAGUUAGGACUAGAUAUGUUACCAAUCUAAACAUUUGAUGAUUAAAAAAAAUACAUGUCGAUGAUAUAUACAAUUAUUAUUUUCCUAGUGGGCUAGUGGCAAUAGGCUAAGACAUUGUAGAAGUUGUGAAAUGGCUGGUGACGACUGUACAAGGUACGAUGUGGUUUUUAACAAACUGGCGUGGGCGAAAGAUGGGAUCAGUCUAUUUUAGGUUACUGAAAUAAGUUCUAAUUUAUAUGUUUUUAGUGAACCUACUGUAUUGAGCUAAAGAUACACUUAAAAUCUAUUAGUAGUGCAU